ACGGAAGGCAGCAGUGGGGAAUAUUGCACAAUGGGGGAAACCCUGAUGCAGCGACGCCGCGUGAGUGAAGAAGUAUCUCGGUAUGUAAAGCUCUAUCAGCAGGGAAGAAAAUGACGGUACCUGACUAAGAAGCCCCGGCUAACUACGUGCCAGCAGCCGCGGUAAUACGUAGGGGGCAAGCGUUAUCCGGAUUUACUGGGUGUAAAGGGAGCGUAGACGGUUCUGCAAGUCUGAUGUGAAAGGCAGGGGCUCAACUCCUGGACUGCAUUGGAAACUGUAGAACUAGAGUGCCGGAGAGGUAAGCGGAAUUCCUAGUGUAGCGGUGAAAUGCGUAGAUAUUAGGAGGAACACCAGUGGCGAAGGCGGCUUACUGGAUGGUAACUGACGUUGAGGCUCGAAAGCGUGGGGAGCAAACAGGAUUAGAUACCCUGGUA
rnacentral:rRNA from 1 species